GACGAACGCUGGCGGCGUGCUUAACACAUGCAAGUCGAACGGAAAGGCCCUGCUUUUGUGGGGUGCUCGAGUGGCGAACGGGUGAGUAACACGUGAGUAACCUGCCCUUGACUUUGGGAUAACUUCAGGAAACUUGGGCUAAUACCGUAUAGGAGCUCCUGCUGCAUGGUGGGGGUUGGAAAGUUUCGGCGGUUGGGGAUGGACUCGCUGCUUAUCAUCUUGUUGGUGGGGUAGUGGCUUACCAAGGCUUUGACGGGUAGCCGGCCUGAGAGGGUGACCGGCGACAUGGGGACUGAGAGACGGCCCAGACUGCUACGGGAGGCAGCAGUGGGGAAUAUUGCACAAUGGGAGGAAGCCAGAUGCAGCAACGCGGCGUGCGGGAUGACGGCCUUCGGGUUGUAAACCGCUUUCGCCUGUGACGAAGCGUGAGUGACGGUAAUGGGUAAAGAAGCACCGGCUAACUACGUG
rnacentral:rRNA from 1 species